rnacentral:rRNA from 1 species
UUCCGGUUGAUCCUGCCGGACCUGACUGCUAUCGGAUUGAUACUAAGCCAUGCGAGUCAUUGUAGUAAUACAAGGCAGACGGCUCAGUAACGCGUAGUCAACCUACCCUAUGGACGGGAAUAACCUCGGGAAACUGAGUAUAAUGCCCGAUAGAACAUUAUGCCUGGAAUGGUUUAUGUUCCAAAUGAUUUAUCGCCAUAGGAUGGGACUGCGGCCUAUCAGUUUGUUGGUGAGGUAAUGGCCCACCAAGACUAUUACAGGUACGGGCUCUGAGAGGAGUAGCCCGGAGAUGGGUACUGAGACACGGACCCAGGCCCUAUGGGGCGCAGCAGGCGAGAAAACUUUGCAAUGUGCGAAAGCACGACAAGGUUAAUCCGAGUGGUUUCUGCUAAAGGAACCUUUUGCUAGUCCUAAAAACACUGGUGAAUAAGGGGUGGGCAAGUUCUGGUGUCAGCCGCCGCGGUAAAACCAGCACCUCAAGUGGUCAGGAUGAUUAUUGGGCCUAAAGCAUCCGUAGCCGGCCCUGUUAGUUUUCGGUUAAAUCUGUACGCUUAACGUACAGGCUGCCGGGAAUACUGCAGAGCUAGGGAGUGGGAGAGGUAGACGGUACUUGGUAGGAAGGGGUAAAAUCCUUUGAUCUAUUGAUGACCACCUGUGGCGGAGGCGGUCUACCAGAACACGUCCGACGGUGAGGGAUGAAAGCUGGGGGAGCAAACCGGAUUAGAUACCCGGGUAGUCCCAGCUGUAAACCAUGCAAACUCAGUGAUGCGUUGGCUUAUGGCCAAUGCAGUGCUGCAGGGAAGCCGUUAAGUUUGCCGCCUGGGAAGUACGUACGCAAGUAUGAAACUUAAAGGAAUUGGCGGGGCAGCAC